rnacentral:tRNA from 1 species
CGGGGCGUAGCGCAGUUUGGUAGCGCGCCUGGUUCGGGACUAGGAGGCCGCAGGUUCGAAUCCUGUCGCCCCGACCA